CGCAGCUUUCCUUUCUCCCGGCUGUCGCCGCCUCCCGCCCCAAGUGACGGCGAGAGUCGCUCUGCGCAGGCGCCUGCAGGGCAGCGCCAGCCGAGGGGCGGCUCUGAAUCCCGGCCUGGGCCUGGGCCUCCGCGCGGGCACAGGCGAAGGCCUGCUUGAGGGAGUGGUCGCCGGGAAAAUUGGCAUCUCUUGGCAAAAAAGUUCCCAAGGAGCGCGGGAGAGCUCGGCGUAGAGUGGGCGUCCAGUCACUUGUCCCUGUGAUGAAGUUCACAGCAGAGCUGGAAUUUGAACUCUCUGCCCACAAUGUAUGACACAAAGGCCCAGGAAUGCGGCUUACACAGUCCUGACCCUACAGCUGGCCCUCCAUCCUCACUGCUCUCCCAGGAGAAGGUGGGAACUGGCUUCUUCAGCCAAGGACAAAGCCACGGUGGACAAUCGCAGGCCCAGGCCCAAGGUUUGCCCUCCCUCCUGCCUCCAUCUUUACAAAUCUCACUCAUGCAUGAUGCCAACUCCCCUCCUACUGAUGACUCCAUC
rnacentral:lncRNA from 1 species